UACGUAGGGGGCUAGCGUUGUCCGGAAUCAUUGGGCGUAAAGCGCGUGUAGGCGGCCCGGUAAGUCCGCUGUGAAAGUCGGGGGCUCAACCCUCGAAUGCCGGUGGAUACUGUCGGGCUAGAGUACGGAAGAGGCGAGUGGAAUUCCUGGUGUAGCGGUGAAAUGCGCAGAUAUCAGGAGGAACACCAAUUGCGAAGGCAGCUCGCUGGGACGUCACUGACGCUGAGACGCGAAAGCGUGGGGAGCAAACAGG
rnacentral:rRNA from 1 species